rnacentral:rRNA from 1 species
GGAGUUAGCCGGUGCUUCUUCUGUGAGUGAUGUCCUUCCUGCCGGCUAUUAACCCGCAGGCCUUCUUCCUCACUGAAAGUGCUUUACAACCCGAAGGCCUUCUUCACACACGCGGCAUGGCUGGAUCAGGGUUGCCCCCAUUGUCCAAUAUUCCCCACUGCUGCCUCCCGUAGGAGUCUGGGCCGUGUCUCAGUCCCAGUGUGGCUGAUCAUCCUCUCAGACCAGCUACGGAUCGUCGCCUUGGUGAGCCGUUACCUCACCAACCAGCUAAUCCGACAUAGGCUCAUCCGAUAGCGCGAGGCCCGAAGGUCCCCCGCUUUCCCCCGUAGGGCGUAUGCGGUAUUAGCCUGGGUUUCCCCCAGGUUAUCCCCCGACUACCGGGCAGAUUCCUAUGCAUUACUCACCCGUCCGCCGCUCGCCACCAGGGAGCAAGCUCCCCGUGCUGCCGCUCGACUUGCAUGUGUAGCUGCCGCCAGCGUCAUCUGAGCAGAAUACAACUACUGA